rnacentral:rRNA from 1 species
UCCUACGGGAGGCAGCAGUGGGGAAUAUUGCACAAUGGGGGAAACCCUGAUGCAGCAAUGCCGCGUGAGUGAGGAAGGCCUUAGGGUUGUAAAGCUCUUUCGCACGCGACGAUGAUGACGGUAGCGUGAGAAGAAGCCCCGGCUAACUUCGUGCCAGCAGCCGCGGUA